AUGAACGCUGGCGGCGUGCCUAAUACAUGCCAGUCGAGCGAACAGACUAGGAGCUUGCUCCUCUGACGUUAGCGGCGGACGGGUGAGUAACACGUGGAUAACCUACCUAUAAGACUGGGAUAACUUCGGGAAACCGGAGCUAAUACCGGAUAAUAUAUUGAACCGCAUGGUUCAAUAGUGAAAGACGGUUUUGCUGUCACUUAUAGAUGGAUCCGCGCCGCAUUAGCUAGUUGGUAAGGUAACGGCUUACCAAGGCAACGAUGCGUAGCCGACCUGAGAGGGUGAUCGGCCACACUGGAACUGAGACACGGUCCAGACUCCUACGGGAGGCAGCAGUAGGGAAUCUUCCGCAAUGGGCGAAAGCUUGACGGAGCAACGCCGCGUGAGUGAUGAAGGUCUUCGGAUCGUAAAACUCUGUUAUUAGGGAAGAACAAAUGUGUAAGUAACUAUGCACGUCUUGACGGUACCUAAUCAGAAAGCCACGGCUAACUACGUG
rnacentral:rRNA from 1 species